GACGAACGCUGGCGGCGUGCUUAACACAUGCAAGUCGAGCGGUAAGGCCCUUUCGGGGUACGACGAGCGGCGAACGGGUGAGUAACACGUGGGUGACCUGCCCUCAGCUCCGGGAUAAGCCUGGGAAACCGGGUCUAAUACCGGAUAUGACUCCAUGACGCAUGUUGUGGGGUGGAAANCCUUGUGCGGCUGAGGAUGGGCCCGCGG
rnacentral:rRNA from 1 species